AAGGUCGGCUUCUUCAUCCAAUCCCUCGUCGCAGCAACCGUCCUCGCUCCCUGCCUCCCUCAGUUCCGCUCUUCGUCUUUGAGGGCCAUUGCCCGUGCGUCACCCGAGCCCGUGCCCGGAAUCUUUGUAGAAGCGUCUGGAGGACUCCCACCCGGCUGCCAGCCAUGGCUGAGAAUCUGGCGCCCGAGAAGCGCCACUCCUUCGUGCACAACGGGCAGAAGGUGUUCGAGUGGGACCAGACGCUGGAGGAGGUCAACAUGUACAUCGAGCUCCCGAAGGGUGUGCCAACCAAGCUAUUUCACUGCAGCAUCCAGGCUAGCCACGUCGAGGUCGGCAUCCGCGGCAACCCGCCAUACCUCAACCAUGACCUGACACACCCAGUGAAGACUGACUCGUCGUUCUGGACAAUAGGUGUGACGGAACUCAUUGCUCUUGAAUGCCUUAUUGUUGACUCUUUCUGGCCGUCGUCCGCUCGUGAUGUGGAAGCUGGAAGACAAAACGACGCGGCUGCCGCAACCCUUGAUCUAGAAGGAAUAGUGCAUGAUUGCAGUCUAGACUAGGCGGCGGCGCCACGGACGAGUGUGCUGGGCUAUAAACUGUAUGGGUCGGCCAGCUGUCUGUUGGUUUUUGGGCUUUUGAGAUGAUGUCCUUGUAUAAAUUGGGCUGCUGUCAUCUACUAUAAGGGCUGCUGUCAUCUACUAUAAGAUUUAGUUUUAUAUAUGGACCAAGCCAAAAGUCAUUGGUGUCCAGGGACAGCAUGCCUUCUACAUGGAUCCGCCCCUGUCUGACAUCUUCAAGACGGUGAGAUGCAUAUAACACUGCAAAAAAGAGAGAAGGGGAAAACAUGGUCAUCUCCAAUACAAGGGCAAGGGAUUUUGGAUCCAUAUGCUGCAGAUCAAGAGCAAAAGCGGCUUAUGCUCCAAAGGUUUCAGGAAGAGAACCCUGGGUUCGACUUUUCACAGGCUCAGUUCAGUGGAACCUGCCCUGACCCAAGAACCUUCAUGGGAGGGAUACGCUCCGAGUGAAGCACCCUACCUGCCUAUGUACGUUUCUACUAUAUCCUCGGCAUCUUGAUAGAUGCAGCAGGCGUGCUUAUUAUGUCUGUAAAUCGGUUGGUGUCUGUUAUGGAAAUAAUUGUGAUGUGUGACCAUUUGUGUGCAAGCACAUUUUGCGUGCUUAAUUCUAGUUUAUAGUUGUGAUCUUCAUUCAGGAGCUGUU